GCACGUGCAGCAGAAAGUGAAUAGUGGAUGGAAAGGCCACCUCACUGGGAACCAGGGCCACGACUUGUAGUGGGCAAUUGGUGGUGAAUGGAAGGCUACCUGGCCGGAUACCUCAACUACUAGGUACAUUUUUUGUUUCAGUAGUAAUUUAGCUCACAUGCUAUUGCAUAAGAACAGUUUCUAAAAAUGUCACUUUACAAGGUUGCUGGCCUACGUGUUAUCACUAAAUUGCGUGUGUAUAUAUGUGUCAUGGUUUCCUUUUUUAUCCAUGGUUAUGUAGCUCUUAAUCAUGAAAAUCUAGAGAGGUUGCGAAAGAGGUUGUCUUUCUCUCUUCAGUGAAUGCUUACGUAAUAGGCUAUAAAAUAAGCUACUAGGUUGUAGGAUCUAUUUCAGAUGGUCAAUGCCUUCAUUGUUGAUAAAACUGCAAGCACGGGAACAUAAUUCUAUACAGUACCAUGUGAGCCAAUUAUAACUUUUGUAGAAACUAUAUUGUUAACUAUGAUAUCAUGAUGAUUUAUUGAUCAAAUCUGUGUUAAUCCGGAUAUGAGCUUUGAACAACUUGACCUGAUUCCAUUUUCUUGACAAAAUUUUGUGAAAAAAUUUCAGGCACUUAGCCACCUGGUGCACAUGGACGUCAUGACUUUGCAGCGUUUAUGGACCAACCAACUUGUAAUCAUGGAUCUGAUGUCUUCUAGACCAUUUGGUGCUUCGGGUAUUUCGGAGCUUGCACUUUGUGCAUGUGGAUACAGACUUCUGUGUCCUGGACCAUCUAGUUGAAGUCUCUCAUACCAGCAAAUAGUGCUCAACUUUUUGUGACUCGUGUAUUCUGGGUGAUUGUUAAGAUGGUGAAAACUAUGCUGUGUCAAGAUUGAUGUGUUUGUCAACUUGUGUUCAAUGUAUAUGCAUGUUUGUGAACAUAUUUUCAUUGUUGUACAAUAUGUGUUCAUCUUGAACCUGCUUGUGGAUGUGAGGAUAGUAAUUGAAUCUGUUUAGAGCUUGUAUAUAUAGAUAAUAACUGAAUCUGUUUAUA
rnacentral:lncRNA from 1 species